rnacentral:lncRNA from 10 species
GGGGCCAGGAAAAGGCAGUAUCUGCCCUCCCCUCCGGGUGAGGAUGUAGCUGCAGCUGCUGGACCCACAUCUGCAGACCUGCGCCUCCUGUUCCACAGAGCUAGCAGGAGCCAGGGACAAGCAGGAGCCCUGCCCCUUCUAAGUUGGUGGGGCAGGAGCUCCCAGGUGCUGCUGCGGCCACCCUCUCAGGGAAGGACCCGGGCAUCUCUACAGCCUGCACCCUCACAGGUUCCAGAAAGGACACUCCCCCAUCCCCCAGGCAGGCUCUGGGGUGUUUUCUCCCACUGCCUGGCCUCUCUACUUUCCUGGCACCUGUUCCGAUUGUGGAGCAGGAUCUGGGCCGAGCUCCCGGACCAUGAAUGGCAACGGGAGGCAGACACCCUGGUGGAAGGGGGUGGGUCUCCAGUAAGGCCUCACCUUCAGUCCAGGGAGGACCUGAAGGCUGGGGGCUGGGCUGCCAGUCCUGCAGACUGGAGUGGGGAGCCUCUUCUCAGGUAAGAAUCUUAACCUUCUCACCGGCCCAUGGCUGCCCAUGGACCAAUGGACAUGCACUUCCUCCCCUCUGAGGUCUGUAAAAGCCCUAGGCUCAGCCAGAGGACAGCCAGAGGACGAAGAGGGCAGAAAGGCAACCGGACGACCAGACCACCUGCAGAGAGGAGCUACCCUCUCUGCUGAGAGCUGCAGAGAUGGCUUGUCUGCGUACCUCAUUCUUCCUGGGCACAGGACAAGAACUCUUGUAAAGGUGCCACUGGCCACAGAGGUUUCUGGGAAGAAAAUUGAUACCCCAAGGAUCCCGUAACAGUUUCAUAGUGAAGAAUUUAAGUGACAUCAAAUAGCAUGAUUGGUUGUUGCUGCUAGCCACAGGGCCACCUUCAUGGAGGAGACAUGGAGAUCCAGAGCUCAGUACCUGCACAGAUGUUCUUAUGGCCCAAGGAAAUCCUUCUCCACAUCUCUUGCCCUAUUACCUUGAAAGAAAAAGUGGCUGCCCCAAAUCCCCAAACGCCAUGAACAUUGAAGGAUGGUGCCCCUGUCCAUGUUGCAUUUGGAUGCCUCUUUGGAGUAUCAGGAGGAUUUGAGCAGUGGAAGCUCUUAAGAAAGAAAAUACAAAUUAUUUUAAGAAGAAAACAACCCCAUCAAAAAGUGGGUGAAGGAUAUGAACAGACACUUCUCAAAAGAAGACAUUUAUGCAGCCAAAAGACACAUGAAAAAAUGCUCA